GAACAAAGGUGGGGCUGACCGUCGAUCCCAAGGGCGGCCGCGGCGGUGUCCGCGGCGAUGGUAGGAACGAGGCGAUAGAUACCGGUGGUCUCUUCCGCGGGAGGACUCUGGGCGAGAGCAAGUUUGGAAGAGCAGAACCGCAGUUCCGCACGAUAAGACGGACCGGCGGAACCACCAACGUCUACUCCCCCUCCUUCCCUACCGUAGUUCCACAACUACCACCGGGAUCCAGCUCUGCCUCUCUACGUCUCUACGCCCCACCACGCCUACCUCUCCGUCGAGGUCUAGGCGCGCGUCGGCGGGUGUGAGAGGAAGGAAGCGACGGAAGGGACACGAGUCGAGGCAGAAGAGGGGCGGGAGGUAGGGGUACACAAGUCGUCGCUGGGAUCCUCCUCGAGCUCGGUGUAGCCACUUCCAAGAGACGAUCCAGACCACGAUGAUGAGGCAGAAGCUAGGGUCGGUAGAGCGUGCAAGGACUCUAGUAGCAGAAGGACCGGCCCUGGGGACCACUCUCGGAGAGAGGUACGGGGUUGAAGGAUUCGUGUAUGCAUAGAGGAUUACCACUUAGAAACUGACUUAAACAAUGUGUGCUGCAAAUGACUUUGAUAACACCAGACUUCUUGUCGAAUGACUUUAACAAGAUCAGACUUUUUGUCAAUAGACUUAGACAACUUCAGACUUUCACAAUCACACUCGACAGACGUUGACAACAUUAGAACAUCUGUCUCAUCUAGUCAACUAAGUAGAGAAAAGUCGGAAUUGUCUCUUCUACCACUACUAUAGGCAAACUAAAUCGGGUAAAACGAACACAAACUUAUUGGAGACUUGUUUUAAGUCCAAGAUUGUCACCAUUUAAUUUAGACAAUGACGUGUACUAAACAUAAGUCCAAAAGAUGUGCUGGGCAGCAUUAUAAUACUAUGUAAGACAAUCUUGGACC
rnacentral:rRNA from 1 species